GCCUCCCGCUGGAACUGCCCCCCCCGCAGAGCAGCCGUGCGCCCUGCCCCGGCGUUGUUCAGCGCAUCAGCUGAUACCAUGUCCCGCAAUUCGACGUUUUUGUUUCUUGACAACUUCAUGCAUCUUUUUAGCAGGUUUUGUUUUGGACAGAGGUUUUGCGCGUAUUUACAGAAUUCAGUGCGAUGCGUAAUAUUCAGACGCGUUGUGAAUAAGCAGAAUUUGUUAGCUUGUUAAAAUUAAGUGAUUCCCAGUAAGCACAGGGUAUAAUCCUAUACUUAGGCUUCUGGCUCUCAUUUAUUUCGCAGCACAACUUUUUGUCUUGGACACACACUUCAGCGCUACAAAUUAAUCUUUGAGUUUAGGAAGCCAAGUGUCUCCGAGCUUUUUGACAGAAAACAGCGAACAGUGUUGUAUUGACCACCUUCAUGCUAUUUCUGACGGAUGGUGUCACUAAACUUGAGCUCACUUGUCACAAUGGAAUUUAAUUAUCUGCUGGAGAGAAGCCCUGACAGCUGUGGCGUAGGUUUUUCAAUGUGAUGUUGCCUGGAUUGCAAGAAAAAUAUCAAGGGCUGGUGAGAACAGCCAUGUUCUAAAAGCAUCUCUGCCUGGGUUAGACCACUGCCUACCAAAGAGAAAAGCACUACUGCAGGAUGCUCUCCAGAAACCCAAGAAACAGAAAACCAUGCUCUUCUCCACACUAUUUCCCUUAUCAGCACAUCGCGUGGUGUGUACGCAGUGUCUCGGUGCAGCCGGGUGAGUGUGUUGUCUGCACAGUAAUCACCAAGAACAAAGACUCAUCUGCACGGUCAGUGAGCAGGGCUGGGGGGCCGUGUGUGCACACGCGUGCCUGAGACACUGCCUGGCUUUGCAGGGCUGUGGCAGGAGGGAGCUGAGCCGGCAUAAGCCCCAAACUACAUGCAGCACCUACCUUGUGUGGUUCAGGGCCCACAGGUGCUGGUCACUGGGUGCCACAGGAGCCAUCCCAAGCACAGGAGAGCAGGAAGUGCUCCUCGGCCAUGCUCAUCCAUGGCAUCAGGGACCAGCACCGUGAGGAUGGAAAGUGGCAACUUGCCCUUUUUAAAGUUCUUGAGAAACUUUCACAUAGGUUGAUACUUUGACACUGGUGUUCCUUGCCAAAGACAAGGGAAACUCCACGAUUGUAGUAAAUAUUUACCUUAAACGAAAUGAGAAUAAUUAAAUGGCACCUUCAUUGCUAUAUUCUAUUCAAUUAUGCUGACUAUGAACUAAUUGCUGACUCAGUUCAUUUACAUGUUAAUAAAUGUCUGUGUUUAAGGUC